GACCUAGUAGCGGAGGGACCGCUCCUGCAUUCACUCGUGAAUGAUUUUAGCUGAACGGCAGAAGUUCCUGGUUCGAUUCCAGGCUGGGUCA